rnacentral:rRNA from 1 species
UACGUAGGGGGCAAGCGUUGUCCGGAAUCAUUGGGCGUAAAGCGCGUGUAGGCGGCUGGGUAAGUCCGCUCUGAAAGCCCGGGGCUCAACCCCGGGAGGCGGGUGGAUACUGCUCAGCUCGAGUCCGGAAGAGGAGUGUGGAAUUCCUGGUGUAGCGGUGAAAUGCGCAGAUAUCAGGAGGAACACCAAUGGCGAAGGCAGCACUCUGGGACGGUACUGACGCUGAAGACGCGAAAGCGUGGGGAGCGAACAGG